UCAUUUGCUCAAAGAGCCUUAAAGCCCCCUUUCGAAACCCUCUUAACCUUUUACCCUUUGGCCGACUCUUGGGCUUCAGCGGCACAUAAUGUGCCUCCACCACCGCCAAAACCCAAAGCCUUUUUUUUGGUUUCGUUUCCAUGCCAGAGAGACUCCGACGACAGAACCGCAAGUGUAAUAAGGUAAACUCUUCUCUUUUUCUUAUUUUCUUAUGCUAAAAAAACACAUGCAAACUUCAAAGAAGAAAAUCCAUUCAAAAAAGGAAAAGAAAAAUGGAACUUGAAAUCCCUUUCAAAAAAUUUCGGCUUGAUUUUUUUGUAUUUUGUAUUUCCGUGUGCUUAAUAUUUGUGUGUUCGUAAAAAAAAAGAGCCUUUACAAUCGAAAAUCAUAGGCUUUAUAGCCGAAUGUUCAAAAUAAAAAUAAAAGAUACAAUUUUUCUUUCUUUGCUUUCGUAUUGGCUGUUGUUGCUGCUGUUGUUUGUCUGUUUCUUCGCAGGUACAGAGCCCGUUGGCGCGGUGGUACGUGGCGCUUGACGUGGAGCAUGACUGUUGGAGCGCUGGAGCGUACGGAGCCAGUCUUUGGGCGCACGGAGGCCGUACAUGAGGGGGUUGUCUAGUUGCGGCACAAAAGUGGGGUGACCUAGGGUUUAUGAAACUGUUAAAGAGAUGGGCCUAUUAGGCUUGCUUUGAUUUGGGUUAUAUUUAAUUUAGGUUUGGGCUUGUAAUGGGUAUCGGGUCUAGGUUUAUUUGGGCUAUUGUAAUAAUUCUGGACGUUGGACUAUUAAUUGAGUUUAAUUUUUAUUUAUUUUGUAUUUUGGUGGACCCGGACAAAUUGGCCCGUUUACAAUAUUAACAUGUUAUUUUAAAUUAAUUUUUAAAUUUAAUAAUAAUGUGAGUGAUGCAAUAAUAAUUGAAAAACAUGAUAAGUAUUUUAAUAUUAUUUUAAAAUAUAAAAUAUAUAAUUAAACUUGAGAAAUAAAAAAAUAAAAAAAUAAAAAAAUAUUAUGUUGCAAUAUUCUCAAUCUCUUUUGUUUAGUGAUUUUAGCCAUUUGUUGGCCGAUACCACACCCAAAA
rnacentral:lncRNA from 1 species